CCACGUCCACCCACACCCAGAGCCACCCAACCUGGCCAGUGGCCACCAACCUUCGUCAUCUCCUCACACCGCGACCAACCAACCAACCGCCUAGAAAAAGAAAGCCCCGCGCCCACUCGCUGCCUUCUCAAAUCCAAACGCGAAGUAGCAACAAGCAAAAGCCCAGAUCGAUAAUACGAUGGGGCGGUCGCCGUGCUGCGAGAAGGCGCACACCAACAGGGGCGCGUGGACCAAGGAGGAGGACGAGCGGCUGGUGGCCUACGUCCGCGCGCACGGCGAAGGGUGCUGGCGCUCGCUGCCCAGGGCGGCGGGCCUGCUGCGCUGCGGCAAGAGCUGCCGCCUGCGCUGGAUCAACUACCUCCGCCCGGACCUCAAGCGCGGCAACUUCACCGCCGACGAGGACGACCUCAUCGUCAAGCUGCACAGCCUCCUCGGGAACAAGUGGUCGCUCAUCGCCGCGCGGCUCCCGGGGCGGACGGACAACGAGAUCAAGAACUACUGGAACACGCACAUCCGGCGCAAGCUGCUGGGCAGCGGCAUCGACCCCGUCACGCACCGCCGCGUCGCGGGGGGCGCCGCGACCACCAUCUCGUUCCAGCCCAGCCCCAACACCGCCGUCGCCGCCGCCGCAGAAACAGCAGCGCAGGCGCCGAUCAAGGCCGAGGAGACGGCGGCCGUCAAGGCGCCCAGGUGCCCCGACCUCAACCUGGACCUCUGCAUCAGCCCGCCGUGCCAGCAUGAGGACGACGGCGAGGAGGAGGAGGAGGAGCUGGACCUCAUCAAGCCCGCCGUCGUCAAGCGGGAGGCGCUGCAGGCCGGCCACGGCCACGGCCACGGCCUCUGCCUCGGCUGCGGCCUGGGCGGACAGAAGGGAGCGGCCGGGUGCAGCUGCAGCAACGGGCACCACUUCCUGGGGCUCAGGACCAGCGUGCUCGACUUCAGAGGCCUGGAGAUGAAGUGAACGAAACGAAGCCCACACGUCCUUUCUUCUCCUUUUGUUGUCGGUUUUAGUCUUGGCUUGUUGGAUUUGGAUAGAGCUAGUUGGUUACUAGUUGUUAGUUAGAAGAUAGUGCAGGAUGAUCACUAGCUACUGGCUACCUCAACACAGUAGCUGCUCCCUUCUUCUCUUCCAUUCUAUGUAAAAAAGAAACAAAAAUACUUAGUACCUGGUUGAUGAACUUUAGGAAUAAUCAUGUGUACUUUCUUCUGACUCCGGGUUGCUUCCCGGAUUCUUUGUGUUGUAAUGUAACUACUACUACUACAAGUAGUAGG
rnacentral:misc_RNA from 1 species